UACGUAGGGGGCUAGCGUUGUCCGGAAUCACUGGGCGUAAAGGGCGCGUAGGCGGCGCGGGUAGUCAUCGGUGAAAGUUCAGGGCUCAACUCUGAAUCGGCCGGUGAUACUCCCGUGCUCGAGCACUGUAGAGGCAGGUGGAAUUCCGGGUGUAGCGGUGGAAUGCGUAGAGAUGCGGAGGAACACCGAUGGCGAAGGCAGCCCCCUGGGCCAAUACUGACGCCUCAGGCACGAAAGCGUGGGGAGCAAACAGG
rnacentral:rRNA from 1 species